rnacentral:rRNA from 1 species
UACGAAGGGUGCUAGCGUUGUUCGGAAUCACUGGGCGUAAAGCGCGCGUAGGCGGCUUUGCAAGUCAGGGGUGAAAUCCUGGAGCUCAACUCCAGAACUGCCUUUGAUACUGGCGAGCUUGAGUUCGGGAGAGGUGAGUGGAACUGCGAGUGUAGAGGUGAAAUUCGUAGAUAUUCGCAAGAACACCAGUGGCGAAGGCGGCUCACUGGCCCGAUACUGACGCUGAGGUGCGAAAGCGUGGGGAGCAAACAGG